UGUUGACAGAAGAUAGAGAGCACAGAUGAUGAUAUGCAAUGGACUCUGCAUCCCACUCCUUUGUGCUCUCUAUGCUUCUGUCAUCA
rnacentral:misc_RNA from 1 species